AUUGAACGCUGGCGGCAUGCCUUACACAUGCAAGUCGAACGGCAGCACGGGUGCUUGCACCUGGUGGCGAGUGGCGAACGGGUGAGUAAUACAUCGGAACAUGUCCCGUAGUGGGGGAUAGCCCGGCGAAAGCCGGAUUAAUACCGCAUACGAUCUACGGAAGAAAGCGGGGGACCUUCGGGCCUCGCGCUAUAGGGUUGGCCGAUGGCUGAUUCGCUAGUUGGUGGGGUAAAGGCCUACCAAGGCGACGAUCAGUAGCUGGUCUGAGAGGACGACCAGCCACACUGGGACUGAGACACGGCCCAGACUCCUACGGGAGGCAGCAGUGGGGAAUUUUGGACAAUGGGCGAAAGCCUGAUCCAGCAAUGCCGCGUGUGUGAAGAAGGCCUUCGGGUUGUAAAGCACUUUUGUCCGGAAAGAAAUCCUUGGCCCUAAUACGGUCGGGGGAUGACGGUACCGGAAGAGUAAGCACCGGCUAACUACGUG
rnacentral:rRNA from 1 species